CCUACGGUGGGCUGCAGUUAGGAAUAUUGGGCAAUGGAGGAAACUCUGACCCAGCAACGCCGCGUGAAGGAAGAAGGUUUUCGGAUUGUAACCUUCUGAUCUGUGGGACGAAGAAAGUGACGGUACCACAGGAGAAAGCAACGGCUAACUACGUUCCCGCAGCCGCGGUAAUACGUAGGUGGCGAGCGUUGUCCGGAAUAACUGGGCGUAAAGGGAGCGUAGGUGGUUGAUUAAGUUAAAUGGGAAAGCCCAGGGCUCAACUCGGGAACUGCAUUUAAUACUGGUCGGCUAGAGUACAGGAGGGGUAAACGGAAUUUCUAGUGUAGCGGUGAAAUGCGUAGAUAUUAGGAAGAAUACCGUUAGCGAAGGCGGCAAUCUGGCUGGAAACUGACGCUGAGGUGCGAAAGCGUGGGUAGCAAACAGGAUUAGAUACCCCUGUAGUC
rnacentral:rRNA from 1 species